UUGCAGAGGUUUGGGGGGUCAAAUAAUAAUGGGAAUUGGUACCGGUAAUGACGGCCGGUUUUGGAAUUGAUGCUGGGAUUCUUGUUUUGGGUGUUAUUCUUGGUUUUUCCGCUGCUAUGGCUGUUCAUUGUUUUUUUUUUUUUUUUUUUCAUUCAUUGCGGCGGUAUUUCGGUGUUUGUCAUUUUGCAUUAUACGGGAUAUAUGCAUCAUGGCCGGGGCCACUUCAUAAUUUUGCGGCGGUCAUCUCUCAUCUUCCCCCGUUUAUGAUUUUAAUUUCUCAUUUUCUGUUCUCAUCCGUUCCGCUUUAUCCUCUUCUCUUCCUAUUCCACAGCGCUGCUCUGAUUGUUCUGCCCUCUGGUUUAUCCUUGCUAUGUAUAUGUAUAUAUAUAUGUAUAUACUUUUAUAUUCUUUAUUUUCGCCGCUGACACGGCUCCAGCCCUCGACUACAUGGAGGUAAGUGGGCUGUCGCGAAGAAACUCCGCAUUUCAAUCGAAGAACUAGUAAGUUCCCCUCCCCCCCUUUUUUUUUAUCUUCUUCAUACAGUUUUGUUACUGUACAAUAACUACGUAUUAGAGGCCAG
rnacentral:sRNA from 1 species